rnacentral:misc_RNA from 1 species
GUCAGCAAGAAGCAUUCUGCUCAAUAGAUCCAACAGGUUAAGAAGCGCAAAUCUUGCAGAAAAUAAACAGGACAGGGGAAAAUCUAAGCUUUCGUACUCCCAUGGAUGAGAAAUUCAACCCACAAUGAUCAGCUUAAGGCAAACACUAUUCUAUCCUCAAAAUGCUUUUAAUUGAAAUAGUUCAUAGUUCUAUUACAACAACAACAUAUGAUUCUUGGCAGUCAUCUAGCUUUGUCCAAAUCAAAAUUUUCCAUUGACAUCUGUGAGGUACCAAGCUGACAUGUUGAUUCUAGAUAUUCUAUACUGGCAUGUAGGAAAAUCAUGAACUUGAAAUUCUAAAGUAAAUUCUGGAAAGCAACGAGACCCAGCACAACUGUGAUUUCUAUACUUCUACCAUCAGCUAGUGUUAAUUUAUGCAAGAUCAAAGUAAUGUAAAAAAGAGAACAAAAGAGACAUUGAUCUCUCAUUUCUUAGUCUUGGUUUUCUUUGACACUUGAGCUUUCUUUCUUACUUUCUUUGCAGGCUGCGCUUUUCCUCCGGUUUUACCCUUCUUUUGUACCACUCCAGAUGAUUUCUCAGCUUUUCCUUUAGUUCUUCCAUUUGUCUGUUCUUCAUUGCCUUCAUUU